rnacentral:misc_RNA from 1 species
AGAACUCCCGUCCCUGACGAGUAGAGUGACACAGCUCGACGGUGAUUGAAGCCCUCCUCCUCCUCCGUACUGACAAGAAGAACCUUGCAUAGGAGCCGCCGUCGAAACGGAAAAAGGCCCCAAGAAAACAAAACACGCAUUUCACGCAUCGCCCACACCUGCGCUGGCGAGUCAUGCAAGCCGCCACACACGUGGCACGGCACAUCUUUGCUUUUUCCCCGUUAUCGCCUCCACACCUGACGCCCCUCGCGCUCCUUUUGUUCGAGUCGUGAAUGACGUCGCGAUUCCAGCAGCUUUUGGUGAGGGACAGCGACGAGGACAGCUCCGCCAGCGACGUUCAGGCGAACCGCACGCAAAGAAGCACCGGGGCUGGGAUUUCACAGACGACACCGCAUCCAAGUGCGACGCCGAAUCCAGCGAACCAAAGCGUUUCUCCCGUCAAACCGGCUUCGGUCACAGCAUCUGCUCCAGCGCGUGGGCCGAUCGCACCAACAGCAGCGACAGCAAGCACCUCAUCACGCACGGGGACGCAGCUCAACCAGAGCGUCGCCUCCUCAACGCACUUCGUGGUUGAGCCGACACCGCAAGACAUCGAUGCAGGGGGCAACCCCGCCGGCUCGACGGACGGCGCUUCCAUCUCCUUUCAUGCAGAACCCAUCUCACGCCACGACGGGCAGCAGGUCUCCUCCUCACAACAGAGCAUCAACUUUAGUUUUGUGCCCUCCAACGUUGUCCCGUCGGUGCGGAACGAUUCAGUGAGUGCGAGGCCGGUGCCGGCGGUGCGAAGCCGCCCUGGCAGUGGCUCUGGUCGCAACACACCUCGCACCUCGGUCGCGAAUGCCAAGGUUCCGGCGCGACGAGAGGAGUCGGAAGGGUCCAUCGUUUUCGAUGAGGAUGAUCCGCCGCAGCGCACCGCGUCACAGCUUCUCGUCGCCACCACGGACGGCGCCACACCGCGUGGGUCGGGGGCUUCCGCGGCGAGCGAAGGAGGGAGGAAGAAGGGCACGAAGGUGGUGCGGAGACAAGUCGUGGUGCGCCGUAAGAAGGGGGCCCACCCGAGCGAUCCAGGGGAGGUGGUGCGAAUAGACGAGCAGGUGAUUCGACCUGGACGCGCAGAUGGCGCUGCAGCGGCCGCGGCGUCGGCCUGGACACAGCUGGCGCCACCUCCUUUCCGCGUUUCGCCCCGUUCGCAGCAGGCAGCCGAGAGCCGCUCUGCCAGCCGCAGGGCGACACCUGCUGAGGGACCCCGCACUCCGGGUAGCGGGGUGUGCGAGAUGCCGCCGCAGAUCCCCACCACACGUGCGGACAGCCGAGGAAUAUCGCCUCGCACGCCGCGUAGGGCUCACAGUACAGAGGCUUCGCGACCGUCAGCGCGCUCGCACCACAAAAACGCCAGCGCCACCAAUCCACUGCUCCCUCUCCAGUCGCCCCAUCCCGUCGUCCGUCCGUCCAACCGCAAGGGGACACCGAGGUCCGCCACAGUUCCUACCGAGACACCGAUCGAGUUCGAGGUGGCGGCCGGCGCGAUGACAGACACGCCCAAUUUCUGCACUGACGACAGCAUAUCUUUUCAGCUCGACCGCGCCUCAGCUGCGACACCGCAGCGCACCGCCGACAAUGGCAACGCCCACCGGAGGCGCCGUCCGCAGAUUCCUUCCCCCUCCGCCCUCGACGACGGCCCCACACCACUCACGGUGGACGAGUGCGGCCAGCUGAUGCCUGCGCCCCGGGACAAGGUUCGGCAGACGACGACAGAAGACGGGCGCAAGACAUGGAUGCUGUACAGCCCCCGUCGCGGCGAUGCCGCCGCUACACUCGCGCAGGAGAUUCCGGCCCCGCCGCUGAAGCUGUCGCGGCGGGCGCAGGACAUUCUGGCUGCAAAGAGGCGCGCUUUAGAGGAUGGCGCCAAACAGCGCCAUGCCGACAGCGAGAAGCUCCGCGCUGAGCCUGAGAGGCGGCUCGGCAUCUCGCGACGCACGCACAGGAGCUUCGCAUUUCAUCCCACUGCCUUCUAUUCUGACGACUUGGCCCGCCAGCACGGGGAGGAGGCGGCAAGGAUGCAGGACGAUCGGUGGGCCGCGUACGUAUAUGAUGGCAUGGCGGUGUGCACGGAGACACGCCGCGCCAGUGGCACCGCGACCAGCCGCUGGGAGACGGAGAAGGUGGUGCGUACGCUGCAGCCGGUGCAGGUGGCGCCGGCGGAGGGCACCACUGGCACGUGCGGGUGUGCUACCUACGACUCGAUGCAUACGGACGAUGACCUGCGUCGCUUGAUCGACAGCAGCGGCGCCCGUGAAGACGGCGUCCGCCACUACUUGAACCUGCAGCCCAUGCAGCUGGCGAACGUGGAGACGCAGCAGAUGGUAGACCCGCCGCUGGAGUCGGCAGGCCGCGGGCCGGUGUCGCCGUCGGAGGCGCAGAGCGCGGUCGAGGCGAGCCACAAGAGCGUCUCGGAACAGCGUGGCGUGGCGACGCUUGGUGGCCUGUGGUGCACGGUGGAGGCUCUGCGAGAAGACGGCCGCCCUGCUGUGCGCAAGGACAUGAGUGCAUCACGACGUAUCUUGCGCAUCUGCGGCGGGCAGGCGCUCAGCGUAUCCCCGCACGCUGGCAGCGGCAAAUCGUUCGACGUGCGCUGCUACGAGCUGCUGCUCUUCGCGCGGGAGUUGCUUAGCCCGUCAGCGGUCAACUACGGAUCGGAGGGGCUUACGCUUGGCCAAGUCGUCGCACCGCCAGCGUCCUCCUUCCCGCUGACACCGCGCAUCAUCGAUGACCCGGUGACUCUGAAGGAGUACAAGAAGCGCUUGCUGGCGACGAAGAGCCGCCAGGUUUCGAUUGUGAACUGCGAGGACGACCGCGCCACGUUUGCGGCGGCGCCGGAGGCAUCUGGCCCCGGCGGCAAGGCGGGAGGUAGCGCAGUGCAGUACCUCACCCUCACCACAGCGACCAUCAGCUCUCGGCAGAAGUACACGAUUGAUCUGGCACUCGUCUUGCUACCGUUCCGCACCAGCGGCAUCUUUGCCGGCAAGACCGUGGCGGAGGUGCCGCGGUUUUGCGCGACGACUGUGAUGCUGCACCGCCGUCUGCAGGGUCUCUCCCUAUCCUUCUCCACCAAAUCAGCCUUCAUGUCGGCCUACAAGGCACUGCUGUGGGCUACGGAGUGCGACAUUGUGGAUGUGAAGCCCGCGGACGGCGAGGAGGGUGACGUGCCCGGCGCUGGAUACUCGAAACUUCGCGUCUGCGCUACGACGUCGCCGAUGGUGCCGUGGGUGGCGUCACUCGGCAAGAGCACACCCGGGCAGCCGAAGGAGGACACCUUCCACGGCAACUGCCUGGAUUUCGCGGCGCUAACACUGGCGGCACCGCCCGGCGCCGUUCAUAGGGCUGAAGCCGACGGCCGCGACCCCCUCACGCUGGAGGACUUUGUUAUCACCGAUGGCGCACCGAACGGCAACGGAGCGGACGACGGCGCUCAAAGUGGGCAGGGCGGCACGCCAACGCGACAACGGCGCCGCAGCACCAUCUUCACAAGCACCUUCGCUCCGCCCAAGGCCGCCGACGCUGAGGGGGGUAGCACCCUUCACAACGCCGACACGGUUGUCGGCCUCACCGCCUUCGGCGUGAUUCGGCGGGCGGUGAGUCAGAGAACGUCCGAGGUGUUCGAUGUGCGGGUGAUACCACGCAACCGCGGCCGCAUGGCUCCUACUACCCGCACCGACACUGCGACGACGGCGGCCGGCGGGCAAACUGCCAAGGCGCAAGAGGAGCACCUUCUGCAGCAGGACGCAGAGGCGGCUAUCAUGAUCGAGUACGCCACUCGCCUGCCUUUCCACUCCCGUGUGUACGGCGUCCUGGUAGACGAUCAGCGCUACUACAUCUUCCAGGAGCCGUGGGUCUCGGCGCUGUCGCUCGAGGAGUCUUUGAAAGGCUUCACCGAGCAUGAUGCGCUGGAGUCCAACGAAAUGCUCAGCAAGAUGACGCGGGCAACGACCAUUAUGUCGCUCAAGGACUUUAUUCACGCCAUUCUGCGCCCUAGCGAGUGCGGGUCGGGGGCCAGUGAGGAAGUGCGGCUGGAGAUUGCUCGAGUGCUCGCUGCCCAGCUACUUCUUCUCGUGACCUCGCUGCACGGCAAGGGGAUGCUGCUAGGCCCGUGCCCACCGCAGCGCCUGCUCGUCCGCGUCGAGGAUCCCACCAAUGGCAUCCAGCAGGCCGAGGAGGAGAGCGGCGUGGACAAGCCAGGGAAGAAGACGACUCCGCCGCCAAGUGUGACGUCGAGUAACAUUCAGCUCUUUGUGCCCGACGUCGGCGUCAACACCCUCGCCUGGGGCUACGAGCGUCAGCAGUGUGGUGUGCUUGAGUACCUGCCGCCCAUGUACGUGCUAGAACAGAUGCUAUCGGACUCCUUCGGCAAGAAGGAGCGGCCAUGGACAAUGCGCGAUGACUGGUGGACAUUCCUGGCUCUCUGCUUCGAGCUGUUCGCCGGGGAUGGCAGCGCGCUCGUGGCUCCUGAAGCGACUUCGGUUAUCCCCACUCCGACACCAACGCUCACCAAGUUCUUCUCUCCGGUGGACAUUCUCGAUGUGUGGCAGAAGGUGAUCACAGACUCGGCCUCUGGCGUGGCCAGCACCGCAGCGGAAACGAUCGGGGUGCGCACGCGCCGCUACGUGCACCAGCGCGUGCUCAAGUCGGUAAGCCGCUCCCUGGACAGCUGGUUGGUCACCAAGGCAGAGCAACUGCAAUACUUCGGCACUACUGCCCCCCGCCAUGCGCGUCGCGUCGUGCGUGCCGUACCGCCGCCGCCUGGCGCGCAGGGCAAGGCGAUUGGCGUCUCGCUCGCUGCCAUGUACCUGAAGUGCGCCCAAGAGGUCAGCGACACCUCCGGCAUCGCUUUCCAGACCGACGGCGAGGAGGCCAGCGACGCGUCCGUGGAGAACAUCCUGGCCGACAUGCCGUGGCUCUUUCAGGUGCGCGACUUUUUCGACACCAUCCUCGACGCCGUCUUUUCCCCAACUCUGUGCAGCGUGCACGGGCCGGCGCUGCGACUGGUGUCACACCCUUUUUUCCAUGGUGUGCAGCUGGCGGCGAUUUUUGACGGGUCGCACAUGUAUUCCGCAGCCGUCGCGGACUACGCGGAGAAGCACCUGAGCAAGAGCAAAGUUCAGGCGGCACUGCUGACCUAUCGGACACGUGCGUACCGUGGGCUGCUGAGGCCGCGGAGAGACAUGCCUCUCAUGAUCACCAGCUCCGCGUACAACACCUCCGGCAGGGCGAACUGUGUUGCCCCGCUGCUUAUGUUGCCCACGCCGACUUUCGACGAUGAGCACACCGUGCGCGAGAAUGACAACUCCACGGCAUGGCACGAGUCGGAGGCCAGCCCGGCAGAGGGACUGGUCAUGAGCCGCACGAAUUCGAUGGUGCACUCCGCCAUUCCGUCGCCGCGGUCGCAGUCGUCCGCCGCCGGGAUGUGGGGUCGGCAAAGAUUGAGGGCGAUGUACAACCCGGCAGAGUGGCAGUCCAUUGCGGCGCUGGAGACGGAGGUACGAGGCGCUCUGAACACCCACGGCCCUGGCGAGUCUGUCAGCCGCCGCCGAGGCUCUGUUGAUUCCGACUACGCAUCCAACCCGGUGACCAUUAGCAACCGGCCCAUGCAACCGGUGCAGCGCUACAGAGGUCCGGCGCAGGCGGAGACCACCUCUGUGGCGUCGUCCGGCCGUCGUCGCGACCCUCGCGAGUACGAGCACAUCGUAGACUCGAAGGCGGCACGCACAACUGCGGCGCCGCCACAACGCUACGCUCAUGGCAGUGGACGCAUCAGCCUCCUUGACGAUGCGACAGUGACGCGGUCGGAGACGGUCUUUGGCCAAACAAGCACAGCCCCGUUCGUGCAGCCAUUACCAACAGGGACGUUGUACAACAGCCACCCCGUAACGGGGCGAGAGAGCCAGCGCGGCGCCGCGCCUUUGGCGGCUGUAGGGCCGUUGGAAAGUGUCCGAGAAGAGGCCGCGCCCGCCCGCCAGCCGCACCGCUACGCCGACUCCAGCGAGUUUGAGCGCAGCCUCAACGACUUGGCGCGGAGUCACCCUCACAGGCACCAGAGCAGAGCUGAGGCUGCUUCAUCGUACCACGGCAACGGCAGGGUCGCGGAGGGCUACGGCCCCGGUCCCUCUCAGCUGGAAGUGCCAUCUUCGAAGCGCGGCUCACGACCCGCGUCGCGCCACAGCAACCGCGUGCACCAGGAGGAGUAUGAUAGUCAGCAGUCGUGGCCCCACCAGUUCUUGGAUGCCGCGACCGUGCAGAAGAAGGGCCAACCCUGCAGACUCUCUGACCCACAAAACCCUGUUAUCUACCGCACGACGAUUGACCAGCAGACACAGCGCCCCGUGCACCGCCACGGCUCGCAUAGUCACUACGGCGGCAGCAUCGUGCACGCCGCCUCAGGCUUGAAUGCUUGUCAGGAGAGCAGCAGCGACGAUUCUUACAUGCUGGUGCAGUCCGACGGCGAGGCGGACUCGGUACGGGCACCGAUACCCAACUACCGGUCGAAUAACCUGAACCGCAAGAGCCCUGCCCCCCGUAACCCCCGCGCCUCGCGCACCGAGGUGAUCGCCUCCGACCGGACAUCCUACUUUGAGUUCUAGUACCGUUGGCCCGCGUGCGCGGCUGAGCCAAGUGCUUCUCAGCAUGCACUCACUUUUCCCAGCGCUCACGUCAUGUGCCACGACGAAGUUUUUGUGCGUGUGAGUGUUAAGGCAUACUUGUGCUCUGAUUACGUUGAUGUGUUGUCCCUCUUUUCACACUCUUUUUUGUUGCUGUGCGACGUGUGUCUCUUGCUCCAUCACCCCGCCCUUCUUUACUUUAUCACUCGAUAUCGCAGUGCGCCGGCACUGCUUCGACGUCUCUCUGGGUCGCUUUCUUCUCCCCAUCCGUUUGCGUGCGUUUCGUGCACCGUUGACCGCAUAUAAGGCGGAGGGGGGUAUUGCGGGCCGGAGGCGGGGGUUGGCUGAGGAACUGGGCGGGGUAUCAUCCGCAGCGCCUGCCAUUGUUUCCUGUUCGUUCUCUUCUUUUUUUGUGUGUGUUUGUGUGAGUGACGUGGCGUCGAAUGGCGAAGCUCACGACGUGCGCGUGUGGCUCCAUCACUGUUGUUCACCUCUCUUUUUCUCUGGUGCUUCGUCGGUACCCGGAUGGCGGGGGAGUGGGGGAGGAUAGUUCCAUGCGUGGUGCCGCAGGGCCCAGUACCCCCGCCCUCUCUCUCUCUGGAGAAGCCGGGAGGCCACCCUAUCGCUGGCCAAGUGCCGAACCACCUGUGGUGGUGACAGGGUCGCCGGCGCCGGCGCCGUGCUGGAGGUCCGGGCGACGUAUCGCUGCUGAUGUAGUUGGUCGGGUCCUGGCCGGGCGUUGCAUCGGGGCGACCGGCGACAGUGAACACGCGUGUGCCAUCCAUAUGAUUCGGCAGCGUGUCACCGCGUCUCGAGAGUAACCCGCCCGGGCCCCUACACCGCCCACUGGUGUGCGGGCGGGGGGAGGGCGGGGGCAGCGGCGCCCGCGCCCAUUCCGAGAAGGGAGGGAGGCACCAGCUGGCGACCGGCGAGGCGGCGGGUGGGUGGGGUAGAGCUCGAGGGCAGGUGGCCGUGCUGGGAUGACCGGAUCGGCGCACUGCUGCACCGCGUGCCUGCCGCUUCUUCGCGCGACGCGGGGGGGGGGACUGUGACAGGCCGUGGGUGGAGCGGAGCUUGCCUUGUGUUGGAGUGGCAGAGAAACGGACGAGUAGUGAAGAGCAAAGCCCUCUUCUUUUUUUUUUGCUCUUUUUGUCGUUUUGAGUCGGGUGGCGUAUUUCUUUUUUGGUGUGUGCGCGUUUCAAGUUUGGUUGUGUGGGCUCGGUGCUCGUGGCAUGACUAGAGAUGAGCGGCUCUUUUCGAUGCUUGCUGUUUCUCUCCCUCUAGCUGUUCUUUGAUUUGUGGCGUGGUGCGCUGAGGAUGUCCGUUGGUGUGUGUUUCCCUUCCUCUGUAGACACACACAUAUAUACACACACAUCUUUUCCUGUUCAGCGCCUGCGCGGAAAGCAUCUUCAUUCCGUGGAUGAGAGAGAGAGAGCUGAUAGACGUCCAUUUUUUCAUCCUUGAAUUUCUCCUGUUUAUUCUUCCUUCUUUCCGUGUCCGUUGUUACUGUUCUCUCUCCUGUGACGCACCUUUUCGCGUGUGCAUGCGCUGGCGGAGUGGAGAUGGUCAGACCGCGUUCAAUGUGUACAAGACACUACCGUAAUGGGUAAAGGGCACCCCCCUUUCUUUCCACACACAGGGUCAUAUGCGC